UGAGGUAAAGCCCCGCGGUUCGGUAGGCCCCGGCCCCUGCGCGGAGGGACAGCCCAGCGAGGAGGCUGCGGCAGGGACUGGGGAGUGCGGCCAGGGCGAACUAGUGGGGUUACUGGGGGUCGGCGGCCUGGGAACGGUCCCUCAGGCGGGAGGGGGAUGGAGGCCGCGGGGGGCUGUUUGACAGCGGCGGUGCCGGAGGAGCAGCUGGGGGAACGGCUGGGAGAGGUCCCUGUGGAGGGUCUUCGGGCCCGGCCAGUGUCUGUGUCAGCGUCGGGUCCCCGAGGGAAGCGGGGUCCCUGCCUGCCGUUGUGCGGGGCAGGGUGCAGGAGCAGUAAGUGCCCAGGGCUGUGUCCCGUGUUUUAUGUGUUCGUGCCUGUUACGUUCCCACUCACGCUGUCCUUAGCAGUGGCCUUUGGGGUGUGGCUGGAUGGAGGGGAUACAUGAUGCCCCACCUCCCCCCAGCCACCCUCCAGCCCUGGGUGGCUCUUGGCCCUGCCAGUGGAGCAGAGCUUUCUUCCAAGGCUGUGUGACAGUCCCCCAGUCCGGCAGCAUGUCACUGGGCUUCCCUCCUGGCUCUUUUCCUCGCAGCUGGAAUGGGCUGGACUUCUCCUCCUGUGGCCUGUGGGAGGAAGCUGUCAUCUGCUAUUCGAAAGCCAUGAACUGGAUCCCCAGAGGGUAAAGGGUCCCCAGAGGGCUAGGGAUACACCAGGCUGGGAGCUGGAGAAGGGAGGCAGUAUCAUUCAGGUUGGCUCUUAUGUUGGCAUCUGGCUUCAGGUUGCUGUUAACCUCUUGCCAGGCUGAUCCUGGGUAGUUUGAGCAGGGAUGGGCUAGACCAGCAUGGGCUGAGGGUUGUCCGUGGUGCAGGCAGAGCUGUAUGAGCAGCGGGCAGAGGCCUUCCUCCAGCUCUGUGACUUCCAGUCAGCCAUGCUGAACUUCAGGAAGGUGCUCACGCUGGUGCCUGCACAGGAGCAGCCGUGCCUGGCUCUCCUGGCCCUUGUCCUUGACCUGCAGGUCAGCCACCGCUCCCCUCCUCCUGUCUGCAGCCUCAGCCUGUGGCCAAGCUGACAGGGCUUCUCUGCUUGACCAGGAGCUCUACUGCAAGGCCCUCGAGGCCUUCACACAGGCAGCUGAGCUGCAGCCGAGCCGCAGGGUGUUUUGGCAGAGGAGGUAAAGCCAGGGCAGUGCUAGGCUGUCCAGCUGGGCUGGCCCUGCUAUGGGCUGCUUCCAGCCUUGCCUGUCUCCUCUUGCAGCAUCAUGUGUCUUGUGGCUCUCAACAAGUUCCCAGAGUGUCUCUGGAUACUCAACAGAAACCUGGAGGAGGACACGAGGAACCCUGAUCUAUAUGUGCUCCGUGCCUCCUUUUAUGAACGUUUUGGGCAGGUAUGGCUGCUCCGGUCCCCGAGGGGCCCUGCUGCCCCUCCUGGAGUCUGGGGAUGCAGCGGGAAGUGCCACGCUCUGAGGGUAUCUGGCCUCCCUGGGCAGCUGGCCCUGUGUCACCAGGACAUCCGACGGGCCCUGGAGCUGGAGCUGUAGCAUGGAGCCACCCAGGCCCUGGGGCAGAGGCUGCUGACAGGAGGCCAGGAGGCCAAGGCCAAGGUGGUGUCCAAGGCCCUGUGCAGGGACCUGCGCGGUGCCCGGCUCAAGACCAGCUUUGCCAUAGAGAAUGACCCCUUGGCUGCUGAAUUCUUCACCCUCAGGUAGCGAGAGUGUCACCGCAGCUGGUUGGCCCCAUUGGCCUCUGAGCUCUCCUGUCUCUGUGCCUGUGUCACAGGGGAACCCCCCUCCAACAGCUCAAGGACUUCAGUGUAGCCCGUGAGGACUUAGCCAGGGUGAGGGACCUGGGUGCCCCAGAGGCCCAGGCUCGGCAGCUGGCACUCACCUACAAUGACUGCUGUGAACUGCUACAUCUGGGCUGAUUCGAUGAGGCUGUGAUGCUCCUUGGUGAGGCUCUGUGGGAUGAGAGGAGGGAGAAGGGGCUCUGUGUCAACAGAGGAGGCAGGCAGCUGGGCUGGGGAUUGCAGCGGGGUCCCCGGGGUGAGGGCUGGGGUGUCAGACAGCAGCAUCUGCACUUGGGCAUUGAGCGUGUGCAGGGGAAGGCUGUGUGCUGGGGUCCUGUGUUAGGGACCAGUGACUGAAAUGGUCAGUGGGGCUCCCGGGUUGUCCCUUGGUCCUGACCCUGCUUCACAGCUGUGCCUGCCUGGACCAAUUCAGCAGUGGGGAGAGGUACCAGGAGCCUGGAUUUACCACUGGUGGUUUGGUUCCCUCCCUGCAUGGCCUGUCCUGGGGCUGUGGCUGGGAAUGGCUGCUCUGUUCCAGACCGGGCUGCGUCUCUUGCCCAGUGGAGCUCAGAGCUUUUGGCUAAUGAUGCUGAAAUCUUUGUGGCUGGGGUGGCUGGACAUGCGCCGUGCGUGUUUCCCACUGGCACGGAGAGCUCCAGACAAAGCCCGGGGGUGGCAGCCAGCCCCCAGCAGCUCUCAUUUAACCGAGACGCUGACGCUGCCUCCCUGCAGACUGCUUCCUUUGCCUGAGGGAGCUGGCCUACGCGCUAGCGGAUUACCAGCAGGCGCUGGAUCUGAGCCCGCCUUGUGCGGAGAUGGGUUGCAGCGGCACUGCAUGAGCUGGGACAGCAGGACUUGGUGGCGAGGUGAGCGGGUGGGCUGGUGCGGUCUGCCCCAGGGCUGGUGACGAGCCAGGCUGCAGAGUGUGCUCACUCCUGUCCCCUCGCAGGUAGUACUGGCAGGCAGAAGCUCAAUUCUCCAUGGCCAUUGAGCACAACCCCCAGAAACCGCUGUACUACCUGUGCUGGGCCAGCGCCCACCUGUGCCUGAGGAGGGUGGAAAGUGCGAGGGAGGAUGCUGCCCUAAGUCAGCAUCUGUGGCUCAACCCUGCGGAUGGCAAGGUACAGCCCUGCGCUGCUCCCUGAUGCUCUCUUCGGGUUGUGGGCGAUGUUCUCAGCCUGUUGCCUUGACUGCAGUCUCUGUGCCUACCCCUCAUGCAGUUUGAGGCAAGCCUGGUAUUUCUGUUCUGCAUUGGGAGCCAGCAGCUGAUCAAGGAUCAGGGACUGGAGUCAGGGGUCCUGCCAGGGUGUGGGUCCAAGCCAAGCAGUGAGGGUUAUAGCCUGGCUCUUGGAACAACUUUGUGCCAGAGCCACUGGGCAGGUCUCUUUCCUCCUUAUUUUCCAGUUUCUUCAACCCCAGUUCAGGACAGAAGCCCCCCUGUGUCUGGCUGUGAUAAGGGGAACAUGUUGCCACAUGGCCAUCACCCAGCAUGGCACCACUCGGGGCAGCGGCAUGGCUUGAUCGAUCUGGGUUGUGUUUGAGGUGAAACCCAGGUUCCCUGUUGGGGCAGGUCCUGGUGGGGCUGGCGGGGCCUUUGCUGGUGGCACAAGGUGGGUGUUUAGCUGCGGCAGUGGAAACCCCGUGGCUCAGUAAGUGCUGAGAACUCACUGUGGGGAAGAGUUUUUCCAUGGAGGAGAUCCAGGUCUCACCUUGUCACCACUGCAGAUCCUUUCCCUCAUAAGCUACCUCUUUCCAAGAAAGACUGUCUGUGCUGUCCUGAGGAGCAAAACUGGAUGCCUUGCCCAAGAAUCCUUGGAGAAAACAGCUCAGAGCCCCCCUGAACUCACCAUUUUGGCUGAUGUUGCCUGGUGCGACUGCAGCAAUAGGUCCCCUGUUGUGACACUCCCCGGAAGCUGAACGGAUGCUGGCCCGCCCAGCCAAAGCCUGCAAGGUCUGACCAGCAGAAGGAUGUACGAGAGGCUCAGCAGCUCAUAGCACCAACUCUCAGCCUGCUGUAGAAAUCAUCACUGAAUAAAAGGAAUUUUCAAAACCAUUAGUGGCACCAUGGGCUA